rnacentral:rRNA from 1 species
UACGGAGGGUGCAAGCGUUAAUCGGAAUUACUGGGCGUAAAGCGUGCGUAGGCGGUCUAUUAAGUCAGAUGUGAAAGCCCCGGGCUUAACCUGGGAACUGCAUUUGAUACUGGUAGACUAGAGUAUGGUAGAGGGGGGUAGAAUUUCUGGUGUAGCGGUGAAAUGCGUAGAUAUCAGAAGGAAUACCAGUGGCGAAGGCGGCCCCCUGGCCCAAUACUGACGCUGAGGUACGAAAGCGUGGGUAGCGAACAGG